GACGAACGCUGGCGGCGUGCUUAACACAUGCAAGUCGAACGAUGAAGCCGGAGCUUGCUCUGGUGAAUUAGUGGCGAACGGGUGAGUAACACGUGAGUAACCUGCCCUUGACUCUGGGAUAACUGCGGGAAACUGUAGCUAAUACCGGAUACGACCCUCGGAGGCAUCUCCUGGGGGUGGAAAGAAUUUCGGUCAAGGAUGGACUCGCGGCCUAUGAGCUAGUUGGGGAGGUAAAGGCUCCCCAAGGCGACGACGGGUAGCCGGCCUGAGAGGGUGACCGGCCACACUGGGACUGAGACACGGCCCAGACUCCUACGGGAGGCAGCAGUGGGGAAUAUUGCACAAUGGGCGCAAGCCUGAUGCAGCAACGCCGCGUGAGGGAUGACGGCCUUCGGGUUGUAAACCUCUUUUAGCAGGGAAGAAGCGAAAGUGACGGUACCUGCAGAAAAAGCACCGGCUAACUACGUGCCAGCAGCCGCGGUAA
rnacentral:rRNA from 1 species